GAGGGUGCAAGCGUUAUCCGGAUUUAUUGGGUUUAAAGGGUCCGUAGGCGGACUUAUAAGUCAGUGGUGAAAGCCUGUCGCUUAACGAUAGAACUGCCAUUGAUACUGUAAGUCUUGAGUAUAUUUGAGGUAGCUGGAAUAAGUAGUGUAGCGGUGAAAUGCAUAGAUAUUACUUAGAACACCAAUUGCGAAGGCAGGUUACCAAGAUAUAACUGACGCUGAGGGACGAAAGCGUGGGGAGCGAACAGGAUUAGAUACCCUGGUAGUCCACGCCGUAAACGAUGCUAACUCGUUUUUGGGCUUUAGGGUUCAGAGACCAAGCGAAAGUGAUAAGUUAGCCACCUGGGGAGUACGCUCGCAAGAGUGAA
rnacentral:rRNA from 1 species